GACGAACGCUGGCGGCGUGCUUAACACAUGCAAGUCGAACGGAAAGGCCCUGCUUUUGUGGGGUGCUCGAGUGGCGAACGGGUAAGUAACACGUGAGUAACCUGCCCUUGACUUUGGGAUAACUUCAGGAAACUGGGGCUAAUACCGGAUAGGAGCUCCUGCUGCAUGGUGGGGGUUGGAAAGUUUCGGCGGUUGGGGAUGGACUCGCGGCUUAUCAGCUAGUUGGUGGGGUAGUGGCUUACCAAGGCUUUGACGGGUAGCCGGCCUGAGAGGGUGACCGGCCACAUUGGGACUGAGGUACGGCCCAGACUCCUACGGGAGGCAGCAGUGGGGAAUAUUGCACAAUGGGCGGAAGCCUGAUGCAGCAACGCCGCGUGCGGGAUGACGGCCUUCGGGUUGUAAACCGCUUUCGCCUGUGACGAAGCGUGAGUGACGGUAAUGGGUAAAGAAGCACCGGCUAACUACGUG
rnacentral:rRNA from 1 species